UGCAGAAUCCCGUGAACCAUCGAGUCUUUGAACGCAAGUUGCGCCCGAAGCCAUUAGGCCGAGGGCACGUCUGCCUGGGCGUCACGC
rnacentral:rRNA from 28 species